rnacentral:misc_RNA from 1 species
GAUGAAGAACGUAGCGAAAUGCGAUAAGUAAUGUGAAUUGCAGAAUUCAGUGAAUCAUCGAAUCUUUGAACGCACAUUGCGCCCCUUGGUAUUCCGAGGGGCAUGCCUGUUCGAGCGUCAUUAUAACCCUCAAGCUCAGCUCGGUGUUGGGGCCUGCUGCACUGGCAGCCCUUAAAAUCAGUGGCGGCGCCAUCUGGCUCUAAGCGUAGUAAUUCUUCUCGCUAUGGAGUCCUGGUGGAUGCUUGCCAUCAACCCCCAAUUUUUCUAUGGUUGACCUCGGAUCAGGUAGGGAUACCCGCUGAACUUAAGCAUAUCAAUAAGCGGAGGA